rnacentral:lncRNA from 1 species
UAACCCCCAAUUUAUACCCAAACACCACUCUUUUGGGAUGGGGUUAGUAAACUCCACCCCAAACCGGGUUAGUGGGGUUUACUAACCCCACUCCCCCUCCCAACUUUAACUCCGCACGCAUUCCGAGCCCUCACCUUUUUCUUCUUUAUCAAUCAUUAACCCCACUCCCUCUCCCAACUUUAACCCCGCACGCAUCCCGAGCUCUCACAUUUUUCUUCUUUAUCAAUCAUUAUCUUUUUAUCCCACCUACUCCAACCAAACACUUUUUUUCACUAUCCUAGACUAACUCCAACCUCCAACCAAACACAAAAAAAUUUUAACACUAUUUUAACCCUGAACUUAACCCUAUCCCUAGAAUAGCUAUUUUUUCUUAACCCCGAACCAAACGGGGGCUAAGUGCCUAUUUUGGCAAACUGUAAAAAAAAAUAAUAAAAAGAAAAUACUGUUACAGAAGUAUUGAAUUGUUUGAAAAAGUUGUGAAAAUAUUUGAUAAAUCUGUAGUAUAAAUAUUUUUUUUAAUAGAAUGUUGUUUGGCUAAUAUUUUUUUUGUAAAGUGUUGUGAAAUAUUUUAAAUUGAUAAAAUUCUAUAAAACUUUAUUUCUAAUCUUUUUAAUUAAAUUAUAUUUAAAAUAUUUAAUAGAAAAUAUAUACUUAAAAAAUGAUCUAAUCAGAAAAGUUCUACUUAUGGGUAAACUUUAAACUUUUGAUAAACUUCAAAUUCCACCAAUAUAGUUUAACUCGUUUUCAUUUUGUCACCUUGUGAUUCAAAAGAAUGCACUUUGCCCUUAUAUUUAUAUUUAUAUAUUGUUGAUACCAAAAUUGAGCCGACCUAACCCACGUAUGAAUCAAUAAGGACACGUGGUAUACCAGGAGUCGGCAAUAAGGCGCCUUAAGGACAAAAAGGCAGGAACGGUUGAAGAUUGGGGCGUAACUUCCAUGGGGAGUUAGCGUAACUUCCAUGAGAAGUUAGUAUAACUUCCACGAUCAUGGUUACAACCACUCCCCCCAACUUCUUUCAACCAACUAAUAAUGUGGGCUAUAAAUAGUAACUUUGAAGCCUGCAAUAGGGGUCUUCGCCCCUGCGCACAAAAGAUCACUUUUAUUUUCCUGCAUUUUUCUUUCUCGCAUUUACUGUUUUCCUAGGAGUAGUUCCUGUAACUUAGCAUCCUGGAGUCUGUCUGCCCCUCAGGCAUCACUCCGUUGUAGACUAAAAAUCCAUCUCCCUGUAAUUUCCUUGGUUUUAUUUAAUAGAAAGUCAUUUUCGGCUCUUCAGGCCGACCAGAUCUCGAGUUGUCCUGGCCAUUCGGCUAUUCUCUCUGCCCACUUUCUGGCUUGUUUCGAGGAUUCGGCUCAUCCCAGCCGAACCGAUUAUACUAUAGAGGUUUUCGAACCCGGCUGAUCUGAUCUCUCAUCAGCCGAAUCGCUUGAUCUGUCGAAGGGCGCAAACUUCGAGGGUCACUAUUCGCAUUCGCAGCCGUUUCGCAUCCCGACGCGCUUCCCGAGGAAGAUCUUUGACCGGGUUAAGGGUCGGGGAAUUUCGGCUCCAACAAUUUUUUGGCACGCCCGGUGAAACACAUUUUUAGGUAAAUUUAUAUUUUACAUAAAUUAUGGCUGAUGAUCUACAUAAUAGGGUUGUUCCUAAAAAUUCUGGGAGUGAUCAACUUAGUGAUUCAGACAAUGCUGGCGAAUGUCAAGCAGUAUUGCCAGUUGAAGGAGAAACUAGUGGACAGUCGGCUCAUCAAGAGCCGAGUCUAACUCAGGCACUUGGCCAGAUGAGCCGAGUCCUGUAAACUUUAGAUCAAAAUAUCCAUCAAAGUACCGCUCGACUAGACGCGGUGCUGGCCGCUAUCACGGCCUAUAAUGAAAAUAUUGUUCGAAUCAGACAAUUAUUUACCCGAAACGAGCAACCUUAUGGGGGGCAACAAGGGCCCCUAAAUGUGCCGGUGCAACAAAAUCCACUCACGCCGGCGGUCUCACAGGUGCAAUCGCAAAUGUCACCUUUCCAGACUGCUUAUAGGACGACGAAUAUCAACACCGGCCCGCAGUCGGAGAUUGCAUCAGGUUUACCUCCUUUACCAGUUUUAUCAGCCCCAAAAUGUAGGGAUUAGGGCUGGGGGGCAAGCCCCUAAUGAUAUACAAGAAGCGAACCCUGCAAUACAGAAUUCUGGAGUUUCUCAAGGGCCAAAUUCGGCUCAAGCACAAGCUCCGCUGUAUACUCAGAUUGAGGAAGCCAUCCGAAAUACUGUUGGAGUAGGCGCAAGGCUGGCAAUGCGGCCUAUAUUUAGAUCACCUUAUCCUACAAAUAUAGACACAGAGCAUCCAUACCCGGCAAACCGAAAAAUGCCGAAGUUUGAUAAAUUUUCUGGGGAUGUGACCAAAAACACGGUCGAAUAUGUGGCACGGUUCACGGCACAGUGCAGGGAAGCCACGACAGAUCCAUUUUUAAAAUUAAGAUUGUUUAACACGUCGUUAACUAAAAUGGUGUUUACUUGGUAUACAAGUUUAUCAGCCAAUUCCGUCCAAGAUUGGGACGAAUUGGAAAGAAAAUUUCAUGAGCGAUUCUAUAGAUCGGAGCCAUAAUUAUCGGUCGCCGAUUUGGCUUUAUACCAACAAAUGUCAGGUGAAACGGUCGAAGAGUAUUUGGACCGUUUCAAAAUAGCCAAAACCCGGUGCUUUAUGAGAAUGCCGGAAUCAGAGUUCGCCCAAAUGGCGUUAAAUGGUCUGCAUUUUAAGAUAAAAGACCAUUUUGAAGAUAAGUAUUUUUCUAGCCUAUUUGAUCUAGGUGUUCGAGUUGCCCAAUACGAGCAAUUUCAGAACAAAAGUGAGAACCAUCGGCUGCAAUUGAGCCGAUAUAAAAGUCAAAGCAAAGGCAAGGAGAAAUUCUUGCUAGAAGAACAGUCGGUUCCAGAAGAGCCGAGCCAAUCGAGUGAAAGUGAAGAAUCGGCUGAUGAAGUCGAUAUAUAGCCACUUUCUUUAAGAAGAAUUUCUUGAUAGAAAAACAUUCGGUUCAAGAAGAGCCGAACUAAUCGAAUAAAAGUAAAGAAUCGGCUGAUGAAGCCGAGAUAUAUGUGGCUGGGAUGAUAGAGCGCCGUUUUCCUAAAGCCGACCAAGACUAGCGAAACUAAAGCUUGGGUCUCGGCUGUGCUUUUGAACAGUCGAUUUGGCACCAAUAAUCAUCCGAAUGUUCAUUCGAAAGACUAUUGGGGGGCAUUAUUGAUACCAAAAUUGAGCCGACCUAAUCCACGUAUGAGCCAAUAAGGACACGUGGUACACCAGGAGUCGGCAAUAAGGCGCCUGAAGGACAAAAAGGCAGGAACGGUUGAAGAUUGGGGCGUAACUUCCAUGAGGAGUUAGCGUAACUUCCAUGAGGAGUUAGUAUAACUUCCACGAUCAUGAUUACAACCACUCCCCCCAACUUCUUUCAACCAAAUAAUAAUGUGGACUAUAAAUAGUAACUUUGAAGCCUGCAAUAGGGGUCUUCACCCCUGCGCACAAAAGACCACUUUUAUUUUUCUGCAUCUUUCUUUCUUGCAUUUUCUGUUUUCCUAGGAGUAGUUCCUG